CCUCCGUUGGUGAACCAGCGGAGGGAUCAUUACCGAGUUUUUCAACUCCCAAACCCCUGUGAACAUACCAUUUGUUGCCUCGGCGGUGCCUGCUUCGGCAGCCCGCCAGAGGACCCAAACCCUUGAUUUUAUACAGUAUCUUCUGAGUAAAUGAUUAAAUAAAUCAAAACUUUCAACAACGGAUCUCUUGGUUCUG
rnacentral:misc_RNA from 1 species